GAUGAACGCUGGCGGCGCGCCUAAUACAUGCAAGUCGAGCGAAUGGAUUAAGAGCUUGCUCUUAUGAAGUUAGCGGCGGACGGGUGAGUAACACGUGGGUAACCUGCCCAUAAGACUGGGAUAACUCCGGGAAACCGGGGCUAAUACCGGAUAAUAUUUUGAACUGCAUGGUUCAAAAUUGAAAGGCGGCUUCGGCUGUCACUUAUGGAUGGACCCGCGUCGCAUUAGAUAGUUGGUGAGGUAACGGCUCACAAAGGCAAUGAUGAGUAGCCGACCUGAGAGGGUGAUCGGCCACACUGGGACUGAGACACGGCCCAGACUCCUACGGGAGGCAGCAGUAGGGAAUCUUCCGCAAUGGACGAAAGUCUGACGGAGCAACGCCGCGUGAGUGAUGAAGGCUUUCGGGUCGUAAAACUCUGUUGUUAGGGAAGAACAAGUGCUAGUUGAAUAAGCUGGCACCUUGACGGUACCUAACCAGAAAGCCACGGCUAACUACGUGCCAGCAGCCGCCGUAA
rnacentral:rRNA from 1 species